UAAGUAAAAUGUCCUGUUUGAAUUUCCUGCUAUUGUCAAAUUAGUUUGUUUGCUCACCGUUGGGCUUUUAUUAAAAAUUUAGGGUAGACAGAUAGAUUUGCUUCUUCCUCUCUCUUAUUCUAUGAUCUCAUAUAAAUUACAGCGUUCAGGUUGCGUUCGGUAAUGUUCGGUUAGGUGGCGCGCUAAUCUGCUUUAAAAACUGUCCCCGGCCUACUAAAGACUACCAAAUAGUACCACUUAUACUACCAAAUAUUACCAUGGUCUACAAGAAAUUACCAAAGGACAACCACAAACUACCUUGUACUAUCAUAGGGUACUAUCAGAGCCCGAAUGGCGAGGCUACAUUUACACUUGGACGGGUUAAGUUAACCCCGCCAGUAGACUCCUCGGUCUUCAUCAUUUUAGCAGGAACGGACUAAUGAGAUGAAGGAAGGAUGUUAAAAGGAGGAAGGCUUCUUGUCGGGUUUGGGAAAAGCAAUAGGAAACCCGAGGAAACCGUGAGGGCCGAAACCCCCACUGAUGGUAAAACCAAAAGGAGCAUCACUGCUGAUUUUCUUACCUCCGAGAACUCGCGUUGCCGCGUCCGCGACCUAUCCGAGAGGCCGUGGACGCAUUGAACCGUACCCAAUUUCUCCACGAGCUACAAAGUGCCAUCGUCGUAUAGUGAUUGAAGUGGCGAGCACAGAGUCCCAGCUCGCGCAGGGACCCCACCAACUCAGCACUCCAAACGCCUCGCGCUGGCAAAUUGUAUAUGCGCAGGCGACGCACGCCCACGAGCAACCGCAGCCUCAACCAAGUACCUGACCAGAUCAGCCCUAUCCCGAUACUUGCCAACCUUAUGCCAAUGGGCCUCAUCCAAUGUCGGGGCCGGUGAAACAACUUGCACGUUUAAGAUCACGGUAACACCCUCCUUUACCGUGACCAUGUCCGGCCUGAAAACACACGCAGUCGUCCGGAAGGAAACCUUUUUUCUAACGAUCCAUAUGAGUUCCAUUAGGUCGACAGAAAUGCGCUAGGCGAUGGCGUUAUGUCGCAACACCCGCCCCCCGUGAGUGCGGUGGCAGACCUGGGUGCAAUGUGCCGGAGUUUCGUCAAGAAGUCAUCCGCCCCGACAAGAGACACGCGACGUACGAACACGCGAUGGUAGGGCGCCAAUGUGGACACUAGCGUCUGGCCCGUGCCGGUCUACAAAUGUUCGAUCAGUCGAAAUGUUGCGAGCGAGGUCGGAACAGUACGAACGGAGACCAUAACGGACUUCUCAUUUCAGCUGGGCAUAUUGGAAUAGUGGUUUUUAUGGAAAUAUGUUGCGCGUGGCUGGGGCUUCGCCCCAGUUAACUAAAAGGAAACAAACCCCACGACCAAUUAAACUCGAAAACGUGGAACUCGAAACGUGGAAUAGUGUUUUUUUAUGGAGCUAGGGUGGCGUACAGUUCAUAAACAUAAACACUAUUCCACGUUUCGAGUUCCACGUUUUCGAGUUUAAUUGGUCGUGGGGUUUGUUUCCUUUUAGUUAACUGGGGCGAAGCCCCAGCCACGCGCAACAUAUUUCCAUAAAAACCACUAUUCCAAUAUGCCCAGCUGAAAUGAGAAGUCCGUUAUGGUCUCCGUUCGUACUGUUCCGACCUCGCUCGCAACAUUUCGACUGAUCGAACAUUUGUAGACCGGCACGGGCCAGACGCUAGUAAUGUGGACAGCCGUGUCAUGCAGUCAGCUUAGAUUGUAGAUAUUUAUAAUGGCUGUAGCCUGUAGAUUGGCGACUAUGCCGUCCCCACCACAAAUUGUAGAUUCCAGUUAAUGGUAACAUCACGUAAGCGCUAGUUGUAUCACUUGGAGGGAAAUUCAAACCCAUCCGGUAUUAAACAAUUCUAAUAUCAAAUAUAUUUGAUGAACAAAAACACAGUAUUACACCCGACACACGAAACUUUGAGUUUUACACGUCACAUUUCAACCUGAGGAUUUCCACAAGGUGAUUAGCUAGCCUCAGUUUGAAAAGGAUCUUGUAAAAUUCGAUGUUUGGUGUGUCGGCUGUAAAAAUGUGCUUUUGUUCAUCCACAUGCGUGCCGCACGUGUUCAACAGACAAAAAUUUUGCGCCUGAAGAUACAAUGAAGUGUCGAAGGGUCGCAACAAGUUUAAUAGUUUCAUUGAUUCUGUGUACCAUCACAACCAGAGCCACCAUUUUGACAGUACUCAAGUGUGGACCGUUGGAGACACAUGCGCAAACAACAAUUUUUUUAAAUGAUUGAGACAGUAAUAUCUUUCAUCUUUUUUAAUUGCUCAUCAGCGCUUCAGUAAUGUUACCACUAACUAAUUUCCCUACUUUUAACGAGUUAAAACCCUCUGGCAGUCAGUCAGAGGCCGGAAUUGCACGUGUGCUGCAGCGGAGCCACUACGUGCUGGAAGCCACCGCGACUCGCGUCUACAGACACGAAUAUCACUUUGGCUCCUUGACUUCCCGCAUGCGCAAUUUCACUUCUGACAAUCAGCAAUCAAGAAAUUGAAAAAAGAAGUCGAAUUUUGACAACUGAAUAUAUUUGAGUGACUGCAUAUGAGUUAUCAGUCACUUAUAUCACUGUGUUAACAUUUAAGUAGUACGAAAAGAAAUAAGCAUUUACUUAAUAAAUUUAUUUAAUGUAACUACAAAUUUGUUUUAAAAAAAAUAAUUUAACAAUAGAAUAGAAUAAGUUUCAUUUAAUAAUUACUAAUUAGGUAUUGUUGAUUCCAUUACUUUUUAAUAAGCGAAUGGCUUCUGUAUUUGCUUCUUCGUCAUUUGGUUUGCUCAUCUUUGCAGUUCUUUUCCUUUUUUUCUUUGUAGAGAAAAAUCGUUGUCGGUCUAUCCGUUUAUUGUGAGGGACAUUUGGUACAUUUGGAGGUAGCCUUAUUUUUUGUUCGUUGUUUUUUCGAACAGCUGCUAAAGUAGGGCCAAUGGACGCUGUAUGUCUUGAAUAUUUCUAGUUCUUCAAAAGUUGAAAUUUUAUCAAUCAACUGAAUAUGAAGUGUUUUCAAUUUUUCUUUUUCGGUGUUCAAUUGAUGUUCUUGUUUAUUCAAAGGUAAGUUUUUAUCAGAUUUAGACAGUAUUUGCAUAAGUUGUUCUUCUUCUUUUUUCUUUUCGAGAUUAGAUUCGUUAACAACCAGAACGCACCGCUCUUCAUCUGGAAAAAAUAUUAUAUUAGAAAAUGUAAGAAAUUUGUGAACGAAAAAAAUUAUAAAAAAUAACCGGGAUUUUCCAACACCGCCACCAACUUCGAAUUUGUCAAUUGCUAAUAAGAAACAUUCACCCAUAAAAAGGAAAAAAGCUGAUUAUUUUUAUUGUUUAUUAUAAAGAAAGAAACCAAAACCAAAAACCCUAAAAAAUGUAUACCCCAUUUGGACCUCAUACCAUUGGUUCACUUGAUCAUCCUCUCUCGAAGGGCUCUUCAAAUGUCUCACUAAUAAAAAAAUUACAAGCAAUUAAUAAUAUUUCACUCUUUAAUAACCUUUAAUUCUUUAAAAAGAGAAAUUAUUAAUAUAAUAUAUGUAUAUUAUCUGUUUCAAAACAAUGUAAAUGCCAACGUCGCAUUUAUUCUCAAAAUUAGUUAUAAAUUAAUUAUGCACUUCAAAAAAUUAAUAGGUAAUGUAAUUUAUAGUUUCAAUGAGAGAUAAUUAUUAAUAACUGUUUUACAUUUUUAUCAACCUUAUUAAAAAAAAUCGGCAAAAUGCAACGUUGGCGUUUACAUAGUUUUGAAACAGCUAAUAUGUACAGUGGUGAGCAAAAAAUUUCGAACACCUUUGAAAUUUCGCUGACAUAAUCGUGUGUAAUUCCCUGCCUUUUCUGACAAUGAAAUGACAAAAGUGCCUAAAUUGUUUGCUUACCAUUGUUCCCACACGAAAGUUACUCACGACUAUUUUAUUUUCAACAUACAUACCUUUAAUUCUAUUUGAAAUAGUAGGUGAUUCUUUGAUAUCUUUUUAUAUCUGCAAACCAAAUGAAUAUGUUUGCACAUGUUCCAUCGAAUACUGUUGUCCAAACAGGUGCAUGAAUAAGCCGGAUACAUACUUCAUAUGAAGAGCAAACUAAUUUGCAGUUACAACCAGACCUUUUUUCUUCAACGAUAUAAAUUUCCUUAGAUGUUGAAGACAAAACCUGAUAACCGGAGUCAGAUUCCAUAACAGUUGACGUAUCCAACUUCUCACUAGUUUUGUGCUUGCUUCGCAAAUCCUUGACUUUUGUUGAUUUAUUUAUUAUAAUGAGCCUCUCGAAAAGUUUGUCUUUAAUAAAUUUCAUGAGUUUAUUGAUUGUUUUGUCGAGGCGAUGUGCUUUCUUUUCUUCCAAGUAUAAAUACUUAAUCGUAUAGUGCAUACGCUCUGUGUGCAUAUUGGUGUUGAUACCAGCAUGCAGCCGCUGACAAUAAACCCAUGCAUUUACAUUGUCCCCAUAAUUUUGCACAAAAUAACGUCCAAAUUCUGAAGUUUGAGGGGUAGACAAUAACUCAUUCACAAAAUUUUGCAUCAUCCUCAAAAAUGCUUCAGGAUGUCUCUCUUGUAAGAGUGUUCGUAACUGUUUGUAGACAUUCGACUAGUUUUUAAAGUUAAAAAUUACUUAAAUCUGAAAAACAAACUUGAGACUCUUGACGUCAAUUUUAUUUAAAUUUUUUCUCCAUGCUCUGUCGACAUGCCAUAUACAGAACAGCCUAUAAGUGAGUUUGUAAGUAAUAUGGGAUAUUUACUGAUAAAAAUAUAUAAACAUUUACCUGAAUUCGGCAGGACCAAACAUUUGCAACCAUGCGUUGUAAUAAGCCGGCGCCAUGUCAGACAUAAAUACUCGUGCCUGAAUUGAUCGUCCCAAGUUACCCUUUAUCUUUUCGAAAAAAAUUUGAAUAACAACUUCGUCCGUUCUAUUUGAGAACAUGAAACUGCAAGAGAACCCUUCCCGCAUGUCGUCUAAUACCAAUAGUGUUGAGUUCGAAGUCAUAAUCAUUGAGACCAUGAGUUCCGUCAAUACAGAUGCAGUCAUCACAGAUCUUAUUUAAUAUUUCUUAUUGACCAGGAUGCAUAAUAAUUAUAACAAAAUCGUCAUCUUUCAGAAAAGGGUAACGCUCACUUUUCGCCCCCUGAGGCUUAUAAAACAAAAUUGUCCCACUUUCCUUAACUUGAUUUACCCAGGCCUCAAUACUAAUAGCGUCAUCUUUAUGUCGCACAGAUUCAUUAUUUAAAUUAAAUAAUUGAGUGGUAUUAUGAAGGUCUUUUCUAAACAGCAAGUGCAUUCUUUCCAAAUUAUUGCCAGUGACUGAAUCUCUAAUGUCAUCCAAAAUUGAUGCGAACGGGACUUUGGAAGCAAUUUUAGAAGCCAAAUCCAUUCUCUGAGAGUCUGUCAGAUUCAAAUGACCUAAUUGAUUAUCAUGCUGCCCUAUGUGGGUUUCAAUAAAAAUCCCAUUAUGGGUACCAUCGUUUUGGAUUUUUACAAGAAUCUCUGAGGGGCAUAUACCGUUGAUUUUGUUGCUCCCUUGUGUUUUCAAAUGUCUCAGACGUUCACCUUUUUUCACGUAAAAACCAGAACGAUGACAAGCGUACAUUAUAUUUUUAAGACCACUUUGAGUUUUAUACAGGCAUCCCGAACUGAUAUAGCCAAAUCGAGCCCCCACUGAAAUAGGUUUUACUGAUGAUGCGGAUAGAUGGCCUUAGUGUUUUACGGGAAAAAGAAAUCCAAUUGGCGGAUUUAAAAUUUCAGAUUAUUGAAGAAAAACGUGGUACCGAUGCGCGGCUGACAAGUAAAAAUUUCACAAACGUCAGCAAAAUUUGAGUUUAUUUUUUAUAAUAUCACGUUAAUGUUUCAAAGUUUUAUUAAGAUAGUGGUUCAAGGUGUCGUGUUUGGGUUAGACUAUUGCCUACUAUCGGUUAGAAACAACAUGAUCUCCAAAAAUAUAACGUAGUAAUGAGCUCCAGGAGGUUUUCGUAGAUAGGUGCGUUUUUCCCAAAAGUGAGUUUUUUGAGACCAAACCGCAAGUGAGUCACACUGCGAGGAGACUCCCAUAGACAAAAGUUGCAAACAUAAGGUGCCAGUUUGGCUGAUUGCAAGUAUGUCUUUAUCAUCGAUUCGGUGACGACUAUUAGUUUUGUAAACUUAAUGGAUUUAAUAAAUAUCUUUAAUAUUAAAUGUGAUCAUGUUGGGUAAAAUUCUUUCAUCUGUGCUGUCUGUGCAUCCACCUUUUCAAAUACAAUUAGAAAAUUUUCAUAAUAAUUGUAUUUGAUAAGGUUUUGACAUCAUUUUGACUACGUGAUGAUGCGGCUAGAUGGCUCCAGCUAGGAAUUCAUUGCCAACCAUUAUGUUCCGCUUCUAUAAAAGUGUUAUUCUAGGGUUUUAUACGAGCCGUAACUACUAACAUAUUUUGCGCAAGUGGCCUUCUUUACGUUAUUUUUCCAACUGUCAAAUUCGUUUGCGUUGAGGAAAUUUAAUGAUUUAGUAGAAAUUUCUAUAUCAUGUGCUUGUCCAAAAUGAAUAUUUAGUAUUGAUUUUGACACGGUUUCAAAAUGACACAAGCUACAUUUUUUCACUGUCAUUCGAUUAUCGGCAUUGCUUUGAUCACUAUGAAUUUUCCUAGGAUUUUUAUAGUGAUUUAUAUUUGAAAAGUCUUUUCUGCAAUGUUCACACUGGUAUGCUUAAAUUUUUGGAGAUGUAAGCUGCUCUACUUUUGCUACAAGAGAUAAUAAGUAUAAAAACUCUUAAACGUCCUGAAAAUUUUUCGCACCACUCAAACUCAUCACCCGGUCCGUGAUGGUGGCUUUCGCGCCGCAUUGGUUUCCCACCAAAUCCCUUAUCAACGACUGGCACAUUUUUAGUCGUAUAAAUAGGUAUAAACUGUUUCGGAGUUCUCCAAUGGUAUAAAAGUUGAUAUCACAGUCAAAACAGCUGCCCCUGACGUAACCUCAAACAAGAAACUGGAAAUGAAUUUCACAUAAAACUAUGAUUCAACACAGUCCAACAAAAUAAAAGAAAAUAGUGCCAUGAUAUGUCUCAAUGUGUUAUUUACCACUUUAUAAACCGUAUUGUUAUUCAGGACUGAGAAUUUUACAACAGUGUAACGAAGGCUUAUUGUGGCUGUUUUUCAAUUCAAAGUUCGCCCCCCGACUUUGAUAUCAUACUACAAAGAUUGAAGCUGUAUCGAAGAAUACUUUUAACGAUUUUU